rnacentral:rRNA from 1 species
UAGAGUUUGAUCAUGGCUCAGGACGAACGCUGGCGGCGUGCCUAACACAUGCAAGUCGAGCGAAGUAUAUUUAAGUGAAGUUUUCGGACGGAACUUAAAUAUAUCUUAGCGGCGGACGGGUGAGUAACGCGUGAGCAACCUGCCUUUCACAAAGGGAUAGCCUCGGGAAACUGGGAUUAAUACCAUAUGAUACUUAACUUUCGCAUGAAAGAUAAGUUAAAGCGAAUAAGCGGUGAAAGAUGGGCUCGCGUCCUAUUAGCUAGUUGGUGAGGUAACGGCUCACCAAGGCGACGAUAGGUAGCCGGCCUGAGAGGGUGAACGGCCACACUGGAACUGAGACACGGUCCAGACUCCUACGGGAGGCAGCAGUGGGGGAUAUUGCACAAUGGAGGAAACUCUGAUGCAGCGACGCCGCGUGAGUGAAGAAGGCCUUCGGGUCGUAAAGCUCUGUCCUAGGGGAAGAUAAUGACGGUACCCUAGGAGGAAGCCCCGGCUAACUACGUGCCAGCCGCCGCGGUAAUUCA